CCUGUGCCUAAACUGAAUGUAAGGGCGGCGGUAAGCCAACAAGGCACAGCUGGAGCCACAGAGCCAGCCUGGACCAGAGUCAGGAUCAUAUUUGGAAGGAGUUGGGAAAGGCUCAGGAAGAGGUAGAGCCAAAGGAGGGGUCCCCACAGUGUAGUAGAAUGCAGGAAAUGAAGGAUGGGUUGGGGCAAGAGGAGAAUUUCAGUAUGAUCAUGAAUUAUGUGGAGGGAGGGAACUGGACCGGGUUAAGGUGGCACCCUGUGAAGGGAUCUGGGGACUGAGAGGAGUCAGGGAGGGGCAGGUGAGAGGAGACCUAAAGUGCACAGCAAUCUGAUAUCUAUUUUAAAUGGGUAGAUGAAAAAGAAAGAAGAAUUUCCUAGCAAAGUUUCAAAGCUGUUUGUUGCUAAAAAUUCACGCUUGGUUUCUACCACUUGUCGCAUAGCAUGGCAAAGUCAGGAAUGAAGUCCAUUGAAAAGCAGCCUUAGUUGAAAUUGGGAUUAUUCCUCCCUGAGGAUGCUACUGAAAUCUUCAUGACAUGACCUCAUUAAUUUCUGUGGGUUCAGAGUUAUCCACCUUUGUGAACUCCCAUAAUAUACUCAAUACCCAUUUGCAGAUAGAAUAAUAAGUUCUUCAGAAGAUGUUGAGAAUCUUAAAUCUCUCUUCUGUGCAAAUUGUCCAGCAUGAUUCUUGGUCCAGAACUGCAAAAUGUAUUUCAUUUCCCAUUUAUCCCCUUAAUGAAGAAUCAGACUUGAACCAUUUGAGACUACCUUUGAGGAACAAAGAUAGAAUCUGGGAGCUGGAAAGCCCUUCACCUGCAGGAAGAGGUCAACCUAAGGUAUCUGCAACACUUCAGUAGAGAGGAGAUGCCUAAUGAACAACUGCGGGCCAGACAGCCUCAGCUGGAGUGUUGUUGGAUCAGAGCUACGAUUUGGAAACCUUUAUCUAGAGCCAAUAUGUAGGGUAUAUUAGAUGGGGGAGGGGGAAAAAGAAAAUGCCUGCAGUGGAGAAGUUGCGGCGUGUAGGAACAUAAGAUGUGAAAGGAGUAAGGCAGCAUGGAGUUCUCAUUUCAGAGGCCAAAAGACCCUCCUGGACUAAUUGUAUGGAAAUGCAAAAUCUUAUUUAGAGAAAGAAACAAACAAAAAAAACAGGAAUCGAGAGUUUCUUUCCUUUUAAAAAUAUUAAUAUUUGAUUCUAAUCUACUGUUAGGGCAAAUCAGAUACACUUUCAGGUCCCAUCUGGCCCAUGGAUGUCCAGUUUCUUACCUUAGGCUGGAGAGUAUGCACCUCUGAACCUGUUGAUUAAAAAUACUGGAGAGGGAUGGGGAUGUGGCUCAGUGAUAGAGCACUUGCCUAUCAUGUGCAAAGCCCUGUUCAGUCCCCAGAAUUGCAAAACGAUUUUUUUUAAAUGAAGCACUGAAAAUGCAGUAGGUAAGUCUGUGUAGAAGAUAAAUAGGCCAUUUAAAUUACAUGUCUAGAAAGAGGGUACAGGUCAAGGUUGGAAAUACCCCAUAGAACGGUUCUCUACACAGGAUGAGUCUCUCUCUUAUCCCCUCAGGGCCAUUUAGCAAGUUCUGAAGACAUUUUGUGUUGUUAGAGCUGAGAAGUGCUACUAGAACUUAAUGCCUAGGGUCCAAAGAUGCAGCUAAACAUUGCACAGAAAUCCAUUCACAACCCUAACCUGGCCCCAGAUACUAGCAGUGCUGAGACUGAAGGCCCUGGGUUAGAAAACUGUUUGCAGGGGGUUAUCAGUUCAAGUGUGGGAGAUGAAUUAGGCAUAGAAAGAGGAAAACAGAAGAGAAAGAAAGCAGCUGUACAUGGGAUGAAGUGGUGUUUGGGGAACAGCUCUGUGAAAGCACAGGAAGAAGAGCCAGGCACAGACAGGCUCCUGAGAGGGAGUAAAUCACCAAGAGGAGCUGCCUCGUCUCAGUGUUCUGAUCCUGUUACUCAGGUAACUCUCUUUCUGUUUUGUUUGUGGACUAAUUAGCACC
rnacentral:lncRNA from 1 species